CUCCAGGCAGCUCACUUUGGCCUCUGUUCCUGGAUCCCCUUUGCUCUUUUCUGCGCCUGCAUUCAUAGUCCACUGUGUGCAGAGGCAUGGGAGUUGUCAUGUUGGGAACAUGCUAGACCUCAGUAUCCUUGAGGGAUGCUGCCUUGGGUCUGGAAACUGUUAGAGGAAACCCCAAGAGGUGCAGGCACUGAGCCUCUCAGGACAAUGACCUGGGGUCCCAGCUCCCCUGGAGGGGCCUCCUCAUGAUUGUUUGGGGGUUGAUCACAGACCAAGAGUGACGAGUGAUGUCACCCUGUGACUCAUGGCUGGACCUUCUUGCCCCUAUUGUCUCAGCACAACAUUAUUCGACUUUUCCCUCAGCGUGGGUGGGCAGAGGAAAAGCCCUGUGGCUCUGGGGACUUGGGAUCCAGAGUUGAAGACCCUUCAGCUGGCUCUGCCCUGCCAGUGCCACAGAGUGCCAUGGCCCAGGAAGACAGGUUUUCUUCCAUCUAGGCCAGGCCAUCCAGUGGCCAUCCUCCGUGUCCUCCCGCCUCCUCCUGGUGUGACUUCUGAAAACCAAGAAUUUGUUCCUGUUGACUUUUUCUGUGCUAUGGACCAUUGUCCUCUCACCCACUCAAUAAAUCUUGAAACAUGC
rnacentral:lncRNA from 1 species